rnacentral:lncRNA from 1 species
GAAAGACAUGAGGGUGAGUAAAUGAUGACAGAAUUUUUAUUUUUGGGUGAACUUUGCUGUAUAGUAAUAAAUAUUUAGGAGUAAUUUGUAGCUGACAGAUAUGGAAAUAUUACAUCAAAUAUACAUAAAUAAACUGCGUUACAGACGAAACAAAUUGACAGCAGUCCCCAGCCUUUCCUAUAGCCACCUAGUCAACUAAACUAACAACGUAAACGUGCGAGAUUAAAAGAGGUAUUGUGGACUCGCAAACGGUCUUUAUUCGUUUUAUUAGCUUGACUUCUCAAAGAGAAUUGUGGCACUUUUAUAGUUUUUAUAUUCUUUUAUUUUAUUGAGACGAGCGGGUUUUUCAUUCCCCAGUGGGGGCUCAGUUUUCAUCCGCCUGUUUUGAUUGGAGGAGGAAUUUAGAGGCCGGUUUAACAGUUGCGUUGGCUGCUCGCUUCAGAUGGGACCGCACGACAGGACAGAUGAGAAACUGCUUCCAUCUGGAAACGCAGGGAGAGAAGGAGGGUCGACACGACACAGUCACCGGCGGUAAGACACACACAUCCUGCUUGCGUUACAUCGCACCGGUCAUCAUCAUCAUUCCGACUGUUGGAGGAGCAGAGCGAACGUGCGCGCAGAGCAGCUGCACCUGACUGAUCGUGGACAUACCUCAGUUUUAUUCAACAGUCUUUAUGUUACAGUUGCCUUCGGUACGUACUUGAAGAAGGAAGAGGGAAAAAAAAAAAAAUUAAAUAAAAUAUUAAAUAAAUAAAUAAAACAAGCGGGGUUUUAAUGUUUUGCUUCAAUUCUGGGAGAGGUAGUCGUCCGUUCGGUACGACCUACUUACUUAGAGAAAAAAGAAAAAAAGUAAAGAAGGAAGGGGAAGGGAAAAAAAAAAAAGGUAAAAUCAAGCGGGUCUCAUGUUUUGCUUCAAUCCUGGGAGAGGACUUUUGCAAGGACCCUGCGUCUGGAGUGCUAAUACACAGACUGCUCUUAUUGGAUGUUGAUUGUUGGUCAGAGAGAAGAAGUGGCAGCGUUAACCGCUGUUGGGACCAUCACUGGACAACCGGUGUCGUCUUUGAAAGUGUUCGAAGAAGGUUGUGGAGGGAUCCCGUCCGCUUCAGAUCGUCUGAGUGGAUGAAUCAAACCCACAUUAGGCAUUCCAGGAUGCGUUUAGCAUUCACGAACACAGGCCAGAGACUCUUUUAA